AUCGUGCAACUCAUUCAAAUAAUAUAAUUCUGAGCAAGGAUGUUCCGAAAUUUCCAUUUAAACCCAUCUUCCGUGCUAUCCUCACUUGUUCUCCCAAGCCUUGUGCUGAAUCUCACCGACAUCCGCUUUCUUCAUGUCAUGAUCUCAGCAUUGUGAGAACUGACCAUCUUGUCUCAUCAUCAUUCCUUGUUCGGUUUAACUUUUCUUUUAAGAUCUGAAAACCUUAUUUUGACUCAGUUAUCCUAUCUAGCUGAAGAACCGUGUACGAAACGAGUUUGAUGCUUUCUUAAAAACGAUCAUCGUCAUCAGGAGGCGUCCCUGGCUGCAUGCAAGGAGGAAGUUCCUUUCGCUUUAGUGGCAAAAUCCUAGAUCUGGAAUGUGUUCGUAAUCUUUGGAGUUCCAUAAAUGACCCUGAUCAAGGUUUGGAGCUAGAAAAUCCUAUAUGCAGUGCUAGUUACGGUUAUUGUGCUACAAAAAAAUCUAGUAACUAUGCAUCGUGUAGACCUUUUGUUGACUCGCCAACCCAGUUAAGUUUUCUCAAAUACUCGUCUAUAUCUGUAGUAGGCUCAUGUGCCUGCUGGUCAAAUUCUACCAAACAAUCAUGGUUGAACCUCUCUGUCGCUUAUUCUAAAGAGGAUCUGGUGCAAGAUUAAUCUCUUUUUAUGCCUUGGCCUUAGAAUCUUUUCCUCGUAAAUCAUGUCAUUACUUUAUCAUUUUUGUUUUGUACGCUGCUUGUUUCAUCUCUAUUUUUUUUCCUCAGUUUUUUUUAUUUAUGUUUAUCGGCCUUAUCUCAUGUGGGUGCUCAACCGGACAGAAUCUAAUGUUGCUCGUUAAUCAAGUAAUCGUGUCGAUGGACGCAAUCUAAUCUGUAUGUGAAGCUUAAACAAGAGUUUUAUUUCUUGCAGUUUGUGGUAGCGAAUCUCUAUUACUCUCAUGUUAUACUUCCGUUUUUUGAUCACCUCCUUGCUAUCCCUCCGUCUUGUAAUUCUUAUCCAUGCACGAUCUAUUUAUGCUACAAGGGAUUUCUCGUUGGAAAUAUUCCUGGCAGCACCGCAAUGAAACCAAGAGCCUACUCUGAGCAAUCGACACAGGCUGGUACCGCUCGACACCUGAUGGUAUUGAGAUUGCUAAUCAUGAUCCCUUAUACAACUAUGUCGGUAUGCUAUCUCCUUGUGGGCAUUCCCCGCAUCUAGCGUUCGUGGUUCUGCCUGGAAAUCUCUAUACCGGCCCAAAAUCUAGUGAGUCUUUCUUCCGAAUUUACGAAGGGGCUGGUCUUUGAAAGAACUGUUAAUGGACGAAAAUAUUAGAAGACUGAAAAAGGGUGGUAGACAAGCGACCCUGUUAAAUCUGCCGAGAGGAUCAAAACUACCUAUGCUAUUGCUGUUGGAACGAGAGGGCAUACAACACUGAAGUUGGACAAGUUACUAAUCGAAGAAAAUCGUGGGAGAUAUCGUGAUUUUGAUACCUUGCUUCUUAAACUUUCUCUACGUUCUCACUCUUUAUCUGCAAAGGAUCAUAUCGUCAACAGCAAUCUUCUCUAAUGUGACUUUGUCCAGCUGGCUUUGAUGGUUAAUCUGUUCCUCUCUCCUUGAAAGUCUUUCUUCUGAAUCUCGGGACGAGAUUCUUUUAAGGGGGUAGGGUUGUAACACCCCAGGUGUUAAUCACCUGUAGUUAUGGUUAAUCGUGUAUUUGAUAUCGUUGUUAGCACUAACCUUGCAUGCAUAAAAUCUUUUAAUUACAUUUUUUGCUAGCUUGUUAACACAUGAAAUGAUGACUAAUUUUCAAAUCCAAUGAAACAUGCUUUAAAAAUAAUUUUUAAAUUCUUGCUCAAAUAAACUUUUGCCUAAAAACAAAGUUGUAGAGUUUGGAAUGGCGAAAAACUUUCGUGUUUAUGGUUUUUCAAGUUUCAGUACAAAAAUUUGAUGAAAACUUUUAAUUUUGCUUUGAAUAGGACAUUAAUGCUUUGGUUUUAACAUUUCAAAUUUUGAACCAUGAUUUGAUCUUCAAAUAAAGUUUUGCCUAAAACAAAAGUUGGAGGAAAUCAAAUUUUGAACAACUUUCAUUCUUGGAAUUUUUCGAGUUUCUAUAUGAAGUUUUGAGUUUUGGACGGUCAAAAUCGAGCUAAGUUUCGUUGAACCAUUUUCUCCCGGUGUUUAUCUGCUCCCUUCCGCCACCCAUGGCCACGUGACGCGCGGCGAGCACCUGCUCGCCGACGUGCUGUGCGCGCCACGCGCCGGCUCCCGUGGCAGCCUGGGCACGAGCCUUCGCGACCUCCCCGGCCUUAUCCUCUCUCGGCAUCUCUAUCCACUCCCUCUCCCCCUUCCAGUUCCUCCCUCCUCUAGCUUGGUCGAGCCGAGCAGAGCCGCUAUCGCCGCCGCUCCGGCCAUCCUGGGCCACCGCGCCUCGAUUCACUCCGCGAGGAGCCGCACCACAUCCACCCGCACCUCCUCCCGCAACCUCAACUCCCGGCCAAGCUCUCCCCAGUUGGAAUCGACACCCCCGCCCACCGGUCUCCAUUAAAGUUUCGUCGAAACUCAGGCCGUCGCCGAACUCCAUCUCUCGGCCACAGUUUCCACCAACCAACGGCUAGAAUCGACUCCUCUCGACUCGCUGAAGCUCGUGCUCUCCACGUUCCAUCGCGUUCCACAAGUUUCCAUGCUCGUUCAUGGCGCCGCCACCGCCGCCGCUCACUGCUCCCGGCGCCGGCGCCUCUCCGGUCGCCCCCAACCCUCAACGAGACCACCCAGAGGUACGCUAGAUGUACGACGCGUGGAGCUAAAGGAUAAAGUCGGAGCCGGACCCGAAGAUGAUGUUUGGUUGACAUAUCCAGAAGAUGGAUGGAUGGAUCCCGAUGUGCACGACCGAAGGCAGGUGCUCGUCAAGCGAGUGUCAUCUAACCAACACUAACUAAUUCAGUGUUAAUCCCAGGCAAGCCCCGGAGCAUAACCCUUAACUUCAGUAUUCAAUGUUUAUUUAUAUAAUUAUUGUGCAUUUACGUUCUA